AAUGUCUAAACUAGUGUCAAUUAUUAAUUAGUUAAGACAUUCUGUUGUAAGUAUUAUUAAUUAGUGUAACAGUAUUGUAAAGUGUUACCAUAUGUUCCCUAUUAUACCAAAAACAUGUGUUUAACUGUAAGAUUAGCUCAGUAUUCAGAGAUGCAUGUGUUUAUUUUGACAAACUGUGCCGAUUAGUGUUUUUUUUUAUAUUUAAUUUAACUGAAUUCCAUAAAUUCCAGAAUCAAGUUCAAGGUUAUGUGUAAAAAGUUGAAAAAGAUGAACAAAAUUAAACUUUUGUUGUUGCUUUUUCUGCUUGUUAGUGCUGUCCUCAUUGGUCAAACAGGGAACGUCUGAUGGUAAACACACACACACACACACACACACACACACACACACACACACACACACAUGCACACACUUCUGGUCUUUCACUGCAGAAGAGAAAGAUUUUUGUAGAAUGGUGUGAAUAUGGAAUAACAAUCUCUAAUAAUCUUGAAUAAGAUAAAACAAAAUCUGUGAGAUAGAGCUUUUUGGAAAAAAUGGUAUUGAAAAAAAGUUGAAAGUGAGCAGUGAAGAACAUCCCAUAUUAGUUUACAAACAGUUUAUGAACAAGGGACAAAAUGAAAGAGCAUUCUCACAACAAUCAAACACAAAAAGGAUAUUUUUUGAGUGUUAAUUUUGCAAAUACAAGGAUUUGUUCUAUACCGAACCAAGGCAACAACCAAAUAUAUAGACCCAUGAACCUCAUUUAAGUCUAUGGUUCUCUCUCUCUUUCUCUCUCUUUUCCCAGAUGAGCCUCUCGUACAGCUGACACUAAGCAUAGGUUCUAAAAGGUUCCACAGAGAGGCUGUUGAGUUAUUAAACACAACUGCAGUUCAAAUCCAAGUAAAUGUCACCAGCACCCAUGACAGUUUUCACAACUCCACUGUGGCUGUGGAGAAUCCAGAAAAUGGGAUAUCAGUGAGAGGUAACUCUACAGAUCACUCAGAGGAAGGACAUGUCUCUACAGGAUCCUGGGUUUGGGUGGUCUGUGCCAUUGUCAUCAUUCUACUUCUCAUUCCAGUGAUCUUGCUGCUAGUACCGAGCUUCAGGCAGCGAAUGUUUUUCCCAGUUGCAGCCCCCACAGGGGUGAGUACCCAUCAGGAAAUGCCUCAAACAAAACAGGAUGCGACAGAGAUCCAGUGGGACCUUGCCUGGAUGGAGAUGGCCAAUUUGCUGGACAAGCAGCACUACCCUGGCAGCUGACCAGCCUGUGACACAUUUGGCUCUUACUAAAAAAAAUCACAAUACAACACUGCAGAACCUCUGUGUGGGUGGUAAACUAUGGUAGAUUCUACAGCAGCGUAAUCCUCAUAAUUAGAGAUGUCUUUUAAAAUAAGAUACAACAACAAUAAACAUUGAACAAUGUACA
rnacentral:lncRNA from 1 species